UACGGAGGGUGCGAGCGUUGUCCGGAAUCACUGGGCGUAAAGGGCGCGUAGGCGGCCUGAUAAGUAGGGGGUGAAAUCUCGCGGCUCAACUGCGAGGCUGCCUCCUAAACUGUCAGGCUCGAGCAGAGUAGAGGCAGGUGGAAUUCCCGGUGUAGCGGUGGAAUGCGUAGAGAUCGGGAAGAACAUCGGUGGCGAAGGCGGCCUGCUGGGCUCUUGCUGACACUGAGGCGCGACAGCGUGGGGAGCAAACAGG
rnacentral:rRNA from 1 species